ACACUCCUGCGGGAGGCAGCAGUGGGGAAUUUUGGACAAUGGGGGCAACCCUGAUCCAGCAAUGCCGCGUGAGUGAAGAAGGCCUUCGGGUUGUAAAGCUCUUUUGUCAGGGAAGAAACGGUGGUGGCGAAUAACUACUACUAAUGACGGUACCUGAAGAAUAAGCACCGGCUAACUACGUGCCAGCAGCCGCGGUAAUACGUAGGGUGCAAGCGUUAAUCGGAAUUACUGGGCGUAAAGCGUGCGCAGGCGGUUGUGUAAGUCAGAUGUGAAAUCCCCGGGCUCAACCUGGGAAUUGCAUUUGAGACUGCACGGCUAGAGUGUGUCAGAGGGGGGUAGAAUUCCACGUGUAGCAGUGAAAUGCGUAGAUAUGUGGAGGAAUACCGAUGGCGAAGGCAGCCCCCUGGGAUAACACUGACGCUCAUGCACGAAAGCGUGGGGAGCAAACAGGAUUAGAAACCCGGGUAGUCCCAUG
rnacentral:rRNA from 1 species